rnacentral:rRNA from 1 species
AAUAGAUACCCCGGUAGUCCACGCCGUAAAUGAUGAAUACUAGGUGUAGGGGUUGUCAUGACCUCUGUGCCGCCGCUAACGCAUUAAGUAUUCCGCCUGGGGAGUACGGUCGCAAGAUUAAAACUCAAAGGAAUUGACGGGGGCCCGCACAAGCAGCGGAGCAUGUGGUUUAAUUCGAAGCAACGCGAAGAACCUUACCUAGACUUGACAUCUCCUGCAUUACUCUUAAUCGAGGAAGUCCCUUCGGGGACAGGAAGACAGGUGGUGCAUGGUUGUCGUCAGCUCGUGUCGUGAGAUGUUGGGUUAAGUCCCGCAACGAGCGCAACCCUUAUUGUUAGUUGCUACCAUUUAGUUGAGCACUCUAGCGAGACUGCCCGGGUUAACCGGGAGGAAGGUGGGGAGUGACGUACAAAUCAUCAUGCCCCUUACUGUCUAGGGCUACACACGUGCUACAAUGGCAAGUACAAAGAGACGCAAGACCGCGAGGUGGAGCAAAACUACAAAAACUUGUCUCAGUUCGGAUUGUAGGCUGAAACUCG